rnacentral:rRNA from 1 species
AAUCAACGCUGGCGGCGUGCCUCAGACAUGCAAGUCGAACGAUUAAGACUUCCUUCGGGAAGUGCAUAAAGUGGCGCACGGGUGAGUAACACGUAAGUAAUCUACCCUCGAGUGGGGAAUAACGUUCGGAAACGAACGCUAAUACCGCAUAAUGCAGCGGCAUCGCAAGAUGACAGUUGUUAAAGGAGUAAUUCGCUUGAGGAGGAGCUUGCGGCAGAUUAGCUAGUUGGUAAGGUAACGGCUUACCAAGGCUACGAUCUGUAUCCGGUCUAAGAGGACGGUCGGACACACUGACACUGAAUAACGGGUCAGACUCCUACGGGAGGCAGCAGUCGGGAAUUUUGGGCAAUGGGCGAAAGCCUGACUCAGCCAUGCCGCGUGUGUGAAGAAGGUCUUCGGAUUGUAAAGCACUUUAAGUUGGGAGGAAGGGCAGUAAGUUAAUACCUUGCUGUUUUGACGUUACCGACAGAAUAAGCACCGGCUAACUC